GGUUAAGUGGCAGACAAAUGCACCAAGUUUAAGCCUUGUUUAUAGAAAGUUUCUUCUCUUAGCUU
rnacentral:tRNA from 1 species